UAUGUGAUCGUCUCUCGCAUAUCAAUAAGCGGAGGAAAAGAAACUAACAAGGAUUCCCCUAGUAACGGCGAGUGAAGCGGGAAGAGCUCAAAUUUGAAAUCUUAAAGGGUUUCCCUUUACGAAUUGUAGUUUAAAGAAGUGUUUUCUGUUGAGGUCUUGGUAAAAGUUCUUUGGAAUAGGACAUCAUAGAGGGUGAGAAUCCCGUAUUUGACCUUUACUUUCAACUUUGUGAUACACUUUCAAAGAGUCGGAUUGUUUGGGAAUGCAGUCCAAAAUGGGUGGUAAAUUUCAUCUAAAGCUAAAUAUUGGCGAGAGACCGAUAGCGAACAAGUACCGUGAGGGAAAGAUGAAAAGAACUUUGAAAAGAGAGUUAAACAGUACGUGAAAUUGUCAAAAGGGAAGCGUUUGACACCAGUGUUGUUUUUCUGAAAAUCAAUUAAAGAACUGUUUAUGCUAAGCUGUUUAGACUUUAUCAGCUAAUCUGUUUAGUUUUGAGCUUUUCUUUAAUGCACUUUUCAGUUAACAAGUCAAUAUCAAUUUCUUUUGCUGUAAAAAAGCUUGAGGAAGGUGGCUUGAGAUUCGUCUUAAGUGUUUAUAGCCUCUUGCCUAUGCAGUCGGAGAGAUUGAGGUCUGCAGCGUAGAUCCUUCGGGGCUAAAUGCAUUUGUGCUAAGUUAUAGCAUUUUAUAGACAACUUGUUGACUAUGAUUUGUCUUGUAGCUUACUCGCUUAUGUUAUUUUACCUACGCUUAGGAUGUUGAGUCGUAGAGCACGCAG
rnacentral:rRNA from 1 species